UACGGAAGGCAGCAGUGGGGAAUAUUGGACAAUGGGCGCAAGCCUGAUCCAGCCAUGCCGCGUGUGUGAAGAAGGCCUUCGGGUUGUAAAGCACUUUUGUCCGGAAAGAAAAGCUUAGGGUUAAUAACCUUGAGUCAUGACGGUACCGGAAGAAUAAGCACCGGCUAACUUCGUGCCAGCAGCCGCGGUAAUACGAAGGGUGCAAGCGUUACUCGGAAUUACUGGGCGUAAAGCGUGCGUAGGUGGUUUGUUAAGUCUGAUGUGAAAGCCCUGGGCUCAACCUGGGAAUGGCAUUGGAAACUGGCUUACUAGAGUGCGGUAGAGGGGGUGUGGAAUUCCCGGUGUAGCAGUGAAAUGCGUAGAUAUCGGGAGGAACAUCUGUGGCGAAGGCGACACCCUGGACCAGCACUGACACUGAGGGCACGAAAGCGUGGGGAGCAAAC
rnacentral:rRNA from 1 species